rnacentral:lncRNA from 1 species
CCGCGGUGGGAAGACGCAGAGCUUUCAGGCCAGCCCCGCGCGGCUCACGGCUUUUGUGGCUGGUGGCUGGUGGCUGCUGGUUGGGAGGCCCCGGAAGGACUUCUACUCCUCCGUAGGCUGGAGGGCACUAGGAGGUCGCAGGUGCUGAGCUGCCGGGGCCUUUGGGCUGUGCUGAAGGGGAAAAGCGCAGCCACUGUCGGGAGUGUGUGCUGUGGAGGCAGUUGCCGCGGUGAUGUUCGCUCCGCCUGGCCCCUGCCGGGGAUUCAGCCAACCAACCCUCAACAGCCGGCGGCGGCUCAGUCUCUGGCCCGGCGCGGUGCUGAGCACCACUGAGCCCUCAUCUUAGGGCACCGAGGCCCGGACUCCUGCAGCCGCAUGUCCAGGCCCCUCCUGCCUUAGCACGGAGCUCCCUUGACUGCUCCAAACAGCCCAGACUGGCGCCUUUUUUGGAUAAAUUAAAACGGGGCCAAUCCGUUGCCAGCGAUUGGCUAACGAUGGGUACACGACCUAGUACGGGCCAGGGAGAAGUAAGCGAGGUCUGUUGAGGCAGAGUUUCGGGAAAGAUCUUCUAGUUAAAAGGGGAGUUGGGUGGGUGGGGGCUGUUUUCUUCCUGUUGUCCUUGCCCAGUGUAAGUUUCCUGGAGCUGCAGCAGCCUUUUUGUCACCAUGAGGGCAGCUGGUGGGAACCCUAGGAAAGCAGGAAAUCACCUAGAGCCGGAACAGCCUGAGCCUCUGAACCAACCCACAGCUGACUACCCGUCACUUUGUCGUGUCUCUGUGAUUUGAGUCCAUCAUUCUGCUGCAGUUGAAGGUAUCCUUUGACAAAGCCCUGUUCUUAACCAUUAUGGUGAAACGCAUGAAUCCCUCUUCGGGCUAUUUGCUGCAUGAUCCUCAGCAAAUUAAAUAGUUAAUCUCCCUCAGUUUCCUCAUUUAUAAAGGAUAGGAUGAUAAAGCAUAGAGAUCGUGAGGAUUACAUGAGGCAUUUACCUAGAAGAUACUUAGAACAAUGCUGGACACAAACUAAGUACUUAACAAAUGUAACAUUUCUCCUAUUAGUUAGUACUCCUAAGACUAAUUAUGCCACCACUGAUUCACAGUCCCUUAUCAAAAACCUUUCAGGCCAGAUGUGUUUGUGAAAUUCAGAAUUUUUUGAAUGUUUAAAAAAGGUGAGAUAUAUUGUAUGCCCCCGUAGUCAAACAAUGUUUCUAUAGCAGAAAUGUGUGAGUAUUCACAAAUAUUCACCCUAAGUGGGAUAUAUAAAGGUUGUAAAUAGGGCCAGGCACAGUGGCUCAUGCUUGUAAUCCCAGUACUUUGGAAGGCCAAAGCGGGAGGAUUGCUUGAACCCAGGAGUUUGAGACCAGCCUCGGCAACACAGUGAGACCCCCGUCUCUACAAAAUAAAAAUAACAAAAUUAGCCGGGCACUAUGGCGCCCACCUGUAGUACCAGCUACUCAGAAGGCUGAGGUGGGAAGAUUGCUUGGGCCUGGAAGGUUGAGGCUGCAGUGAGUUGGCUGUGAUCACACCACAGCACUCCAGCCUGGCCAAUAGAGUGAGACCCUGUCUCAAAUAAAAUAAAUACAAUAAAUAAAUAAAGGUUGUAAAUAGUCUCAUAUCAGUUCAAAUGAGUUUACUCCAAGCGUGGGGAAAAACUAAUUUGGAGGACUUUCUGCAUUUCAGAAUUGAAAAUAAGGUAUGUUGUAGGCCUCUCAAAAUGCUUGUCUUGCAGUUUAGAUUAGAUGACUUGCUUUGUUACCCACUUUUGAUUCGCUGGCCUUUAUACUGAUGGCUGCUUUUCAGAUGUGUAUAAGAACAAAAUUUCAACAAAUUUAGUUUCAAAGAUCUGAUUGGUUUUUAAUAGCAUUGCAUGCACCAGGCAGUCUACAAGAUAGAAAGGUGCUCCAAUGAGGACCGAGUGGGUGAGUUUGACAGGCAGGAAAAAGUGGAGGAAAGCAGGAAGAAUGAACAAAUAGCAGAUCAGUCAUUUCAAGGUUACUUUCCUUAUAGAGGUGUAGACGAAAUCUUGGUGUAAUGUAAUUUGGCUUUCAUCCCUCUCCUGAUUUCUCAGAAGAUCUUACAAGUAAGCAACCCAGGUUUCAGUUUGGUAGCAUGAAUCCUUAGCAUUUAGUGACUCCAGUUUUGGUCUGCUGUCUUUCUUAAAUGGAUGCAUGAGGCAACCAUUGGGUACUGGGGGGGGGACUGCUUAGCUUAGGAAUGAGAUACAGCAAUAGGUAUAUUUAGAAGGAUGCAGUUUAGCUUAGCACAGUAUUUACCAAGCAUCAGUCACUUGGGUACUAACUGCAAGAUGUAUGCUAAACCUCUCCUAUUAUUUACAUAGUAUAUUUAUUUAAAUUCUCAAUAUCUUAAGUUUGAAAAACUUUAAAAAUAAUAUGUGACAUCUAUAAAGUGAUGGUUUGAAUGCUCACUAUUUUAAUAUGUUAAAUAGAUUAAUUAUUAGAAGAAAAUAUGGGAGGUCAGGCACAGUGACUUAUGCCUGUAAUCCCAGCACUUUGGAAGGCCAAGACAGGCGGAUUGUCUGAGGCCAGGAGUUCAAGACCAGCUGGCCAACAUGGCAAAACCCUGUCUCUGCUAAAAAUACAAAAAUUAGCCAGGCAUGAUGGCGCAUGCCUGUAAUCCCAGCUUUUUGGGAGGCCAAGGCAGGAGAAUUGCUUAAACCCUAGAGGCGCAGGUUGCAGUGAGUCAAGAUCACACCGCUGCACUCCAGGCCUAGGCGACAAAACAAAACUCUAUCUCAAAAAAAAGAAAGAAAGAAAAAUUGGCCAGGCACAGUGGCUCCAGCCUGUAAUCCCAGCACUUUGGGAGGCCAAGGCAGGUGGAUCACAAGGUCAGGAGAUGGAGACCAGCCUUGCCACCAUGGUGAAACCCUGUCUCUACUAAAAUACAAAAAAUUAACCAGGCAUGGUGGUGGCGGCACGUGCCUGUAGUCCCAGCUACUCGGGAGGCUGAGGCAGGAGAAUCUCUUGAACCUGGGAACCUGGGAGGCAGAGGUUGCAGUAAGCCGAGACCACGCCACUGCACUCCAGCCUGGGUGACAGAGUGAGACUCCGUCUCAAAAAAAAAAAAAAAAAAAAAGUAAAGAAAAUAUGGGAAAA